CAUGUUUUGCCCAAUUACUUCGUACUGAAGUUUGCCUGAUAUAGAUACUAGCGUUCUUGAUCAAAGAGCUCGGUUGAUGUUUCGUGUUAGUUUUGGUCACAAUGGCUGGUUCCCCCCAACCCCCUUUUCCCCUCUUCCAUUUUGGCUGCGACCUUGUGAUACUAUAGCAGGCAUCUGUGUAUCAAACACACCCCUGAAAAAGGGGGCAAAAAUGAAAGAAAAAGAGAUAUAAGGAGUAUGUGAUUGGACUUUUCCAGGAAUUUGAGGCUGUGUAC
rnacentral:lncRNA from 1 species